CGAACGCUGGCGGCGUGCCUAAUACAUGCAAGUCGAGCGGAAUGAUGAAGAAGCUUGCUUCUUCUGAUUUUAGCGGCGGACGGGUGAGUAACACGUGGGCAACCUACCUUGUAGAUUGGGAUAACUCCGGGAAACCGGGGCUAAUACCGAAUAAACCAUUUUGCUUCAUGGCAAGAUGUUGAAAGGCGGCUUCGGCUGUCACUACGAGAUGGGCCCGCGGCGUAUUAGCUAGUUGGUAGGGUAAUGGCCUACCAAGGCGACGAUACGUAGCCGACCUGAGAGGGUGAUCGGCCACACUGGGACUGAGACACGGCCCAGACUCCUACGGGAGGCAGCAGUAGGGAAUCUUCCACAAUGGACGAAAGUCUGAUGGAGCAACGCCGCGUGAGUGAAGAAGGUUUUCGGAUCGUAAAACUCUGUUGUAAGGGAAGAACACGUACGAGAGUAACUGCUCGUACCUUGACGGUACCUUAUUAGAAAGCCACGGCUAACUAC
rnacentral:rRNA from 1 species